AGAGUUUGAUCAUGGCUCAGAGUGAACGCUGGCGGCGUGCUUAACACAUGCAAGUCGAACGAGAACGGGUUACAGCUUGCUGUAACUGUCAGCUAAGUGGCGCACGGGUGAGUAAUAUAUAGGUAACAUGCCCCAAAGAAGAGGAUAACGUUUGGAAACGAACGCUAAUACUCUAUAUGCCUUUAAGUCAUAAGACUGCAAGGGAAAUAUUUAUAGCUUUGGGAUUGGCCUGUACAGUAUCAGCUUGUUGGUGAGGUAAUGGCUCACCAAGGCUAUGACGCUUAACUGGUUUGAGAGGAUGAUCAGUCACACUAGAACUGAGACACGGUCCAGACUCCUACGGGAGGCAGCAGUGGGGAAUAUUGCACAAUGGACGAAAGUCUGAUGCAGCAACGCCGCGUGGAGGAUGACACAUUUCGGUGCGUAAACUCCUUUUAUAUAGGAAGAUAAUGACGGUACUAUAUGAAUAAGCACCGGCUAACUCCGUGCCAGCAGCCGCGGUAAUACGGAGGGUGCAAGCGUUACUCGGAAUCACUGGGCGUAAAGAGCGUGUAGGCGGGUUAAUAAGUUGGAAGUGAAAUCCUAUGGCUCAACCAUAGAACUGCUUUCAAAACUGUUGACCUAGAAUAUGGGAGAGGUAGAUGGAAUUUCUGGUGUAGGGGUAAAAUCCGUAGAGAUCAGAAAGAAUACCGAUUGCGAA
rnacentral:rRNA from 1 species